AGUGAACGCUGGCGGUAGGCCUAACACAUGCAAGUCGAACGGCAGCACAGUAAGAGCUUGCUCUUACGGGUGGCGAGUGGCGGACGGGUGAGGAAUACAUCGGAAUCUACUUUUUCGUGGGGGAUAACGUAGGGAAACUUACGCUAAUACCGCAUACGACCUACGGGUGAAAGCAGGGGAUCUUCGGACCUUGCGCGAUUGAAUGAGCCGAUGUCGGAUUAGCUAGUUGGCGGGGUAAAGGCCCACCAAGGCGACGAUCCGUAGCUGGUCUGAGAGGAUGAUCAGCCAUACUGGAACUGAGACACGGUCCAGACUCCUACGGGAGGCAGCAGUGGGGAAUAUUGGACAAUGGGCGCAAGCCUGAUCCAGCCAUACCGCGUGGGUGAAGAAGGCCUUCGGGUUGUAAAGCCCUUUUGUUGGGAAAGAAAAGCAGCAGGUUAAUACCCCGCUGUCCUGACGGUACCCAAAGAAUAAGCACCGGCUAACUUCGUG
rnacentral:rRNA from 1 species